AAUGAACGCUGGCGGCAGGCCUAACACAUGCAAGUCGAACGGAUCCUUCGGGAUUAGUGGCGGACGGGUGAGUAACGCGUGGGAACAUACCCAAAGGUACGGAAUAGCCUCGGGAAACUGGGAGUAAUACCGUAUGUGCUCGAAAGAGGAAAGAUUUAUCGCCAAAGGAUUGGCCCGCGUUGGAUUAGGUAGUUGGUGGGGUAAUGGCCUACCAAGCCGACGAUCCAUAGCUGGUUUGAGAGGAUGAUCAGCCACACUGGGACUGAGACACGGCCCAGACUCCUACGGGAGGCAGCAGUGGGAAUCUUAGACAAUGGGGGAAACCCUGAUCUAGCCAUGCCGCGUGACCGAUGAAGGCCUUAGGGUUGUAAAGAUCUUUCAGGUGGGAAGAUAAUGACUGUACCACCAGAAGAAGCCCCGGCUAACUUCGUGCCAGCAGCCGCGGUAA
rnacentral:rRNA from 1 species